UCCUGGCNCNUAUUGAACGCUGGCGGCAUGCCUUACACAUGCRAGUCGAACGGCAGCACGGGGGCAACCCUGGUGGCGAGUGGCGAACGGGUGAGUAAUAUAUCGGAACGUACCCAGUAGUGGGGGAUAACUAUCCGAAAGGAYAGCUAAUACCGCAUACGAUCUGUGGAUGAAAGCAGGGGAUCUUCGGACCUUGUGCUAWUGGAAUGGCCGAUAUCUGAUUAGCUAGUUGGUAGGGUAAAAGCCUACCAAGGCGACGAUCAGUAGCUGGUCUGAGAGGACGACCAGCCACACUGGAACUGAGACACGGUCCAGACUCCUACGGGAGGC
rnacentral:rRNA from 1 species